rnacentral:piRNA from 1 species
UUGUGGCUGGAAUACGAGACAUAAUGGUUGG